rnacentral:lncRNA from 1 species
UUACUUGUUUGGAAGCUGACAUCUACCCUGGGACAGCUUCCUUCUGGAAACUGUGGUCCAUUAGCAUCAGUUACCAUUAGGUCCAAGCUGUGAACAAGCAUCCCUGAGUGCCUUGUCCUUCACUGAUUAUUAAAAGAAAAGCCCGGGCCCAUUAAAGUCAAUGAAAGUUUUCCCUGUAUUCUUUUUCUCAAAGAUGCUCCAACAUCACCCAUAGGGAUAAGCUCUGUGCAUGCAUCCCUGGUCCACAUUUGACCUGCAGAAAACAGACUGUGCAACUUUAGUCACUUUUAAUUUGUUCCUGUGUGAUCUUAUCUAAACAAUGCUAACACUAGUCAGACUGAACUAUUUGUUAGAAAGCCUUUAUCUGUCAUAGAAAAAAAUGCUAAAAGAAAUUUUAUUUUGAUAGGUGAAACACAUUUUCAUCUAGAACUACAGAUAUUUAAGAACAUUUCUAGGUUUCAACACAAAAUGCAUUAGAGUCUUUGAAUGAAAAGCUUUAUAAAAAUGUAAAUGCACUCCACAAUAAUUACAGUGACAAUAGAUUUUGUUUUCAGCAGCCUUACAAGCACACGGGCUUACAGCACUGCGUUUGGAGCAGGGCUGGUUACACAGCCACGUUGGUUUGAACAGCAGUUUAAAGACAAACAGGAAAGGAAGGUCUUUGACCGGAGAGGCUGACAAUUUAAAUAAGGCUGACAAUCUAACACACAGAGGCAAAAGUGCUGUUCAGUGGGUAGAAAGGGCAACAACACACACGAAGCAAUGGGAAGCGAUCUUGCGAGAGCAUUAUUUUGAAGGAAUCCAGUGCCUGGGUGACUUUCUGUUGAUGGGAGGACAUCUGACUACAUCACUGGGACAUUCAACAGGAUGUGAUCUGAAAACAGAAACCAGGAGUUCUUCAAAGGCAGGUUUCAGAAGUGAAGGAAUAGAAAUCAAAGUAAGAAAUGUUCUCAAUAUUCUUGGAACAAGCAAUUCUUCAUAUUACUACUUUUUAUGGGAAAUGCUUAGCAUUACAUGAGAAACCUAGGAUCACAGCACAGACAUGGAAGAAAUGCCCUUGCCUCCCUGUUGGCUUGGGCAGGCAGCAGCGCCACACCAGCUCCACAUGUGCCUCCACAUGGCUCCUCUCACUGACCCUGUACAUUAAAGGAGCUACAGGGCCCUCUAAAAAUGUUGGCAGAUGGUCUCCGACACCGAAGCACGGCCUAAAGCCUGCACCUUUCCUCCAGACUGAAAAUGGCAGCCUUAGAAGAAAAAGUGCCAUAUUUUCAAGACUGGAAUAA